CUUUGAAAUGGGACAUCCGCAUUCUUUUCUUGCCUUAGGAUUCUAACUGAAACAUCAGCUGUUUCUGGGUCUCUAGCCUGCCAGCAUUUGGAGAGGAACUGCACCAUCCAUUCUCCUGGCUCUCCAGCUUGCAGACCUGUCCAGCUUUCUCAGCACCACUUUUUGAAGAGACUGUCAUUUCUCCACUGUCUAUCUCUCUCCUGGAUGAAGGAUGGAUUAUAAGGAGAUCUCCAUAAGAGUCUGGACCCUUGAUGGAAACCCUGAGCAGCUCCAACAAAGCCAGAAAUCAGCUACUUCCCCACAUUUUUCUACAUGAGAAAGAUGUACUCCUCUUUGUUUACUAUUACUUUGAUUUUUCUGUUACUUGAAGACUAGAACACUCCCAGCUGAUAUACCAUUAGUGAAGAUAGCUGAAAAAAAUUCAGUCUCAAAUGUGGAAUUCUGUAUGACAAUUCUUGGUUAUGUCAAGCAAAAAUGAGCUUAUUUUAUAAUGAAUUGAGCAAGAACCAGGUCUCUUUAAACAAAAAGAAAAAUUUCAAGAGGAUCACUGCUUUUGUAGGAAAUACAGCUUUAUCAUCAAAAUGCCUCUCAUAUUUGUAUCUUUUUUUGUAUCAAGAUAACUUGAAAGUCUAAAUUAAAAAUAAAUUAAUAAAAGCUGGCAUUGUAUGUGACAGUUCAUUACAAAAAAAUGUUCUGUCAUUUCUUUGGGCGUGAUAGGAAUUUUGCUUACACGGUCUUUCUUUUUUUUGCAACAGCUGAGA